GUGCCAGCCGCCGCGGUAAAACGUAGGAGCCAAGCGUUAUCCGAAUUCACUGGGCGUAAAGCGCGUGCAGGCGGCUCAAUAAGUUGGAUGUGAAAGCUCCUGGCUCAACUGGGAGAGGACGUUCAAUACUGUUGGGCUCGAGGACGGUAGAGGGAGGUGGAAUUCCCGGUGUAGUGGUGAAAUGCGUAGAUAUCGGGAGGAACACCAGUGGCGAAGGCGGCCUCCUGGGCCGUUCCUGACGCUCAGACGCGAAAGCUAGGGGAGCGAACGGGAUUAGAUACCCGCGUAGUCC
rnacentral:rRNA from 1 species